rnacentral:rRNA from 1 species
CAGCCGCCGCGGGAAUACGGAGGGUGCAAGCGUUAUCCGGAUUCACUGGGUUUAAAGGGUGCGUAGGCGGAUCUGUAAGUCAGCGGUGAAAUCUCCAGGCUUAACCUGGAAACUGCCGUUGAUACUAUAGGUCUUGAAUUUUGUGGAGGUUAGCGGAAUAUGUCAUGUAGCGGUGAAAUGCAUAGAUAUGACAUAGAACACCAAUUGCGAAGGCAGCUGGCUACACAACUAUUGACGCUGAGGCACGAAAGCGUGGGGAUCAAACAGGAUUAGAUACCCGAGUAGUCCCUGUCUCUUAUAA